UGGGGAAUAUUGGACAAUGGGCGAAAGCCUGAUCCAGCCAUGCCGCGUGUGUGAAGAAGGUCUUCGGAUUGUAAAGCACUUUAAGUUGUGAGGAAGGGCAGUAAGCGAAUACCUUGCUGUUUUGACGUUACCGACAGAAUAAGCACCGGCUAACUCUGUGCCAGCAGCCGCGGUAAUACAGAGGGUGCAAGCGUUAAUCGGAAUUACUGGGCGUAAAGCGCGCGUAGGUGGUUCGUUAAGUUGAAUGUGAAAGCCCCGGGCUCAACCUGGGAACUGCAUCCAAAACUGGCGAGCUAGAGUAGGGCAGAGGGUGGUGGAAUUUCCUGUGUAGCGGUGAAAUGCGUAGAUAUAGGAAGGAACACCAGUGGCGAAGGCGACCACCUGGGCUCAUACUGACACUGAGGUGCGAAAGCGUGGGGAGCAAACAGG
rnacentral:rRNA from 1 species